CUCUCUACACACGCAUAUAUAUAUACACUUUUUCUGCUUACUUUCCCUGGCGGAGAACCGGUUCCGUGUUCUAGAGGUGAGCAAAGACAGUUGUUCGGCGAUGGACCUAAAUUCUCCUCUGGUGAAAAUAGUGGCUCUCGUUGGAAAUGGUAGCGUCAGUCCUUUGAAAUUCGCAACAUGGCUCGAAGUCAUGGUCCGCACAGUAAUUGUCGAGAAGUGUUUCAAGAUCAAUGAUCUUCUUUAUGUGUUGGCCACAAGGCCUAUUAUUCGUGGACGGAAUGCCAUUGUUGUAAAAGGGUUAAACCCUUUCUUUUAAUUUAAAAGAUGUAAGCUUACGGGCAAUUUAUUUAUUCUUAACUCAAGUUGCAUUUACUUCAUAUUCAAGUGAGAGAACCUUUAAUAAUAGUACUUGUUAUUAUAUUGAA